CAGCCUGAUGCAGCCAUGCCGCGUGUGUGAAGAAGGCCUUCGGGUUGUAAAGCACUUUCAGUCAGGAGGAAAGCUUGGUGGUUAAUACCCGUCAGCUGUGACGUUACUGACAGAAGAAGCACCGGCUAACUCCGUGCCAGCAGCCGCGGUAAUACGGAGGGUGCGAGCGUUAAUCGGAAUUACUGGGCGUAAAGCGUACGCAGGCGGUUUGUUAAGCGAGAUGUGAAAGCCCCGGGCUCAACCUGGGAACUGCAUUUCGAACUGGCAAACUAGAGUGUGAUAGAGGGUGGUAGAAUUUCAGGUGUAGCGGUGAAAUGCGUAGAGAUCUGAAGGAAUACCGAUGGCGAAGGCAGCCACCUGGGUCAACACUGACGCUCAUGUACGAAAGCGUGGGGAGCAAACGGGAUUAGAUACCCCGGUAGUCCACGCCGUAAACGAUGUCUACUAGAAGCUCGGAGCCUCGGUUCUGUUUUUCAAAGCUAACGCAUUAAGUAGACCGCCUGGGGAGUACGGCCGCAAGGUUAAAACUCAAAUGAAUUGACGGGGGCCCGCACAAGCGGUGGAGCAUGUGGUUUAAUUCGAUGCAACGCGAAGAACCUUACCUACACUUGACAUACAGAGAACUUACCAGAGAUGGUUUGGUGCCUUCGGGAACUCUGAUACAGGUGCUGCAUGGCUGUCGUCAGCUCGUGUUGUGAGAUGUUGGGUUAAGUCCCGCAACGAGCGCAACCCCUAUCCUUAGUUGCUAGCAGGUAAUGCUGAGAACUCUAAGGAGACUGCCGGUGAUAAACCGGAGGAAGGUGGGGACGACGUCAAGUCAUCAUGGCCCUUACGUGUAGGGCUACACACGUGCUACAAUGGCGCAUACAGAGUGCUGCGAACUCGCGAGAGUAAGCGAAU
rnacentral:rRNA from 1 species